UACGAAGGGUGCUAGCGUUGUUCGGAGUCACUGGGCGUAAAGGGCGCGUAGGCGGCGCACCAAGUCAGGCGUGAAAGCCCUGGGCUCAACCCGGGAAUUGCGCUUGAGACUGGUGUGCUUGAGUACGGGAGAGGAUAGUGGAAUUCCCAAUGUAGAGGUGAAAUUCGUAGAUAUUGGGAAGAACACCGGUGGCGAAGGCGGCUAUCUGGACCGUAACUGACGCUGAGGCGCGAAAGCGUGGGGAGCAAACAGG
rnacentral:rRNA from 1 species